GUGGUGUAAAGGAUGUUCCGCCUAUUAAUUUACUUUAUUUAUGUUGGUGUAUAUCUGGUUUAAUAUUAUUGUUUAAUAAUUUAAUUUGUGUAUUGUUAAAUUAAGCCAAGUCUAUGUGCUGCUUAUUAAAGUAUUCAUGCGUUACAUUUAUAAGGUUACAUUUGUAAAAAUGUAAUAUUCAGGACUUAAAAGUAAUAUUAAAUUAAUUUGUGAGUAUGAAAAAAGUUUAGCUCAUGUACACA
rnacentral:rRNA from 1 species